GGUCGGAUGGUCUAGUGGUAUGAUUCUCGCUUAGGGUGCGAGAGGUCCCGGGAUCAAACCCCGGUCCGGCCC
rfam:Caenorhabditis tropicalis strain JT1373 unplaced genomic scaffold Scaffold629, whole genome shotgun sequence.